rnacentral:rRNA from 1 species
AUUGAACGCUAGCGGGAUGCUUUACACAUGCAAGUCGAACGAGUGGCGGACGGGUGAGUAAUAUAUCGGAAGUGCCCAGUAGCGGGGGAUAACUACUGGAAACGGUAGCUAAUACCGCAUACUAUCGGAUAACCCAUAUGGGAUUAGCUAGUAGGUGAGGUAAUGGCUCACCUAGGCGACGAUCCCUAGCUGGUCUGAGAGGAUGAUCAGCCACACUGGAACUGAGACACGGCCCAGACUCCUACGGAGGCAGCAGUGGGGAAGAUUGCACAAUGGGCGCAAGCCUGAUGCAGCCAUGCCGCGUGUAUGAAGAAGGCCCUAGGGUUGUAAAGUACUUUCAGUCGGGAGGCGUUACCGGCAGAAGAAGCACCGGCUAACUCCGUGCCAGCAGCCGCGGUAAUAC